rnacentral:rRNA from 1 species
GACAGAGGGGGCAAGCGUUGCUCGGAAUUACUGGGCGUAAAGGGCGCGUAGGCGGGAUGGCAAGUCGGUCGUGAAAUCCCUCGGCUCAACCGAGGAACGUCGAUCGAUACUGCUGUUCUUGAGGAUUGCAGAGGAGACUGGAAUUCCCGGUGUAGCGGUGAAAUGAUGUAGAGAUCGGGAGGAACACCGGUGGCGAAGGCGGGUCUCUGGGCAAUUCCUGACACUGAGGCACGAAGGCCAGGGGAGCAAACGGG